CACAUGGAAUACAAUACAUUGCUUGAAAUGUUUGUAAAGACAAGAGUUCCAACCAAGUUAUCACGCGCCACUUGCAUAUAAACGGGUCCAUUCCUUUGCUGCAGGAUUCAGUGAGCGUGUAUACAUGGCGCCAAUUAAAAUGGACAGCAGAAUUAAACUUGUUAGUUGUGACUUCUAAUAUAAAGCAGCCAGGUAAUAACGUUUAAGAAACUUACGCAAAAGCUAAUUACAAACUUUACCUGUUUCAACAGCCUCUGCCUCAUUCGUCUUCCAGUGCUUAGCAAUGUUCUCAGACAGUGGAUCAUCUGGGUUUGGAGCACUUAAAAGCGCUUGAAUACUUGAAUCACAAAAAAGACAAAAAAGGUCAACCAGGAAAAGAUCAAGUACGAGUAAUAUUUCUUAUUUUCUGAAAUAAAAAAUAUAAGUAUUUCACUAGUUACAGGCAUCAAGGGAUGUCAACCCAUAUACAAAAGAUAUUUACAGUCUAUACAGAUUUCAUUAAGGUAACCAAAGUCCUCAAUAGAGAUUAACA
rnacentral:lncRNA from 1 species